GAAGUGUCCUUGAAUCACCGGCCGUUUCCCGCCAUUUCCAUGGACGAUUCAGGCUACAAUUGACGGUCGAGACGGUUUUUUCACGAUGGCGUUGUGCUGAUUUGUAUCUUUUUCCUACAUUUUCAUAAAGUGCUAUUUAAACAGUGCGUUAAGUUAUUUCGCGAGUGUUGAACAGUGUGUGGUUAGCUGGUUCAUCUUAGCUGUUUUAAGGCAAGGAUUGUUGCCUUCAAAGGGAGGGAUUUACAAAUGGUAAAUCAACUCUCUCUGCUGGCAG